rnacentral:rRNA from 1 species
UACGAAGGGGGCUAGCGUUGCUCGGAAUGACUGGGCGUAAAGGGCGCGUAGGCGGAUGGCAUAGUCAGAUGUGAAAUUCCCGGGCUUAACCUGGGGACUGCAUUUGAUACGUGUCGUCUUGAGUUCGGAAGAGGGUCGUGGAAUUCCCAGUGUAGAGGUGAAAUUCGUAGAUAUUGGGUGGAACACCGGUGGCGAAAGCGGCUCUCUGGUCCGGACCUGACGCUGAGGCGCGAAAGCGUGGGGAGCAAACAGG